rnacentral:lncRNA from 1 species
CAAAAUUGUGAAGUUGGGGACCAAAAUGCAAAAAGUGCCGAAAGUUUAAGGAACUGGGGUAGUAAUUUUGGAGGCCAAAAGUGAUAUGGAAAUCAAAAUUUGAGGAUCAGAUUGUACAUUAUCAAUGUUGAGGGGCAUUGUGUGCAAUUAAAUGGAGGACUAAGUUGGAAAAAGAAAUAAAGGAAGCCCGCGCUCGCACACAGGCUUACUAUGGCGCUCGCGCGGGAGGCUCUUUGUGAUCUCCCGAGGCCAAAAGCCUCUAAUGGCGCGCGCGAGUCGCCUUCCGAUUGGGUGAAUUUUAUCUAUUUCGCGUAAAUUUCGGGAGUUCUUUCACAAUUUUUUCUUAGACGAUUUUUGGCCAUUUAAAUACCAUUUUGUUAGUCAAUUCUAGGGUUUCUUUGGCUGGGUUUUCUUCCUCUUUCAUUUUUCUUUUACUUUUCUUUCAUUUUCUUUCAUUUUCUUCUUCUUUUUCUCUCCUCUUUCUUUCCAUUUUUCUUGACAUUUUGGAAGUGAAAUUAAGAGCACAAGGAGAAUUUAUCUAAGGUUUUGGAUAAAUGUUUGAGAAAGUCAUAGCCAAGUUUCAAAAGGGUUAUAUCUAUAACUUCAUAUUUUCUCAAUUAUUUUGCCAUAUUUGUAAUGGAUUGCGUAAAACAUUCUCCUUUUAUCAAUUAUAUAAAAUGGGCUAGUUUAUUGUGUUGGGAUUUAUGGUAUUAAUUUAACCCAACUUUUAAUUAAUUUUGAUAUUUGCUCUUUAAUGUUAAGUUAUUUAUUUUUAUGUGUUUUUACUGUUGUAUUUAUUGUAUUUUCAUUUAUGUGGCCAAUGAAUGAUUAUGUUUAGUGAUUUGGACAUCGUCCGAGAGAAUAUUGUGCAUUUUAGACCAAAUAGUAGAAAAUCCUAGGUUUGUGUAGAGGAUAAAGAUAUAUUUCUAGCCCUGGGUGACCCAAUGAGUUAUUUUCACGAAUAUUUAAUGUAAUUGUUUGGUUUUAAUCGACAUAGAGAUAUAG